rnacentral:rRNA from 1 species
AUUGAACGCUGGCGGCAGGCCUAACACAUGCAAGUCGAGCGGAUGAAGGGAGCUUGCUCCUGGAUUCAGCGGCGGACGGGUGAGUAAUGCCUAGGAAUCUGCCUGGUAGUGGGGGAUAACGUCGGGAAACGGGCGCUAAUACUGCAUACGUCCUGAGGGAGAAAGUGGGGGAUCUUCGGACCUCACGCUAUCAGAUGAGCCUAGGUCGGAUUAGCUAGUUGGUGGGGUAAAGGCCUACCAAGGCGACGAUCCGUAACUGGUCUGAGAGGAUGAUCAGUCACACUGGAACUGAGACACGGUCCAGAGUCCUACGGGAGGCAGCAGUGGGGAAUAUUGGACAGUGGGCGAAAGCCUGAUCCAGCCAUGCCGCGUGUGUGAAGAAGGUCUUCGGAUUGUAAAGCACGUUAAGUUGGGAGGAAGGGCAGUAAGUUAAUACCUUGCUGUUUUGACGUUACCAACAGAAUAAGCACCGGCUAACUUCGUG